rnacentral:rRNA from 1 species
CUACGGGGGGCUCCAGUGGGGAAUAUUGCACAAUGGGCGCAAGCCUGAUGCAGCCAUGCCGCGUGUAUGAAGAAGGCCUUCGGGUUGUAAAGUACUUUCAGCGGGGAGGAAGGGAGUAAAGUUAAUACCUUUGCUCAUUGACGUUACCCGCAGAAGAAGCACCGGCUAACUCCGUGCCAGCAGCCGCGGUAAUACGGAGAGUGCAAGCGUUAAUCGGAAUUACUGGGCGUAAAGCGCACGCAGGCGGUUUGUUAAGUCAGAUGUGAAAUCCCCGGGCUCAACCUGGGAACUGCAUCUGAUACUGGCAAGCUUGAGUCUCGUAGAGGGGGGUAGAAUGCCAGGUGUAGCGGUGAAAUGCGUAGAGAUCUGGAGGAAUACCGGUGGCGAAGGCGGCCCCCUGGACGAAGACUGACGCUCAGGUGCGAAAGCGUGGGGAGCAAACAGGAUUAGAUACCCUUGUAGUC